UGUCUUCACUGACGUCACAUUUUUUGCUGAAUUACCCACACACCAGUGCGCGCCGCCAUUUCGCUAAGUUUUUUCCAGAGUUACUAGUCGGCGCGCUCUUCAAAGCCUCACGAUCUGGUACACAAGUUCGGCUGCGUAAGCAGGGACAUCGUCUAAUGCUUCCGACAAAAGACUUUGGACAUUCGCAACUACCACCUCCUAGCGUGCGCACCUAUUCCCAGUCAGGACCCAUCACUGCCCGUGUUUAAGCCUGGCUCACCCAGGAAACCAGUGCCAGAGUAUUCACACUGUGUGCUCCCCCGUGUCUCCUGCUUCGGUGCCCCACGCCAACCAUGCUGUCAAGCUCAUCCAACUUCUCACGCUCCCACUUCCUUGUUCCCAUGGACCACGAUCAGAACACAAAUUCUGAGCUACUCCAGAAUAAACCUUUCUCAUCGACUCACUCCACCUCAGUCUGCUUCUGGAUUCAGUCCAAUUACAUACAAUUAUGUUUCAUGACAGCAAGAGUGCUCACUUCCUUAUUUGAGUGUAAAGGCAGACGACUGGACACUUAGCUCAUGUAACUAUGUAGGUACAUCCAAAAAAAAAAAAAAAAUACUGAUUGGCUGACUGGCCCUCGUGACCAAAAGGAUGAGGAAGCAUUGCAACUUGUUAUGGUGAACAACACCUGUCAGCGCGUCAUUCACAGUUGAUUAGGCAAGAGGCGCCUUGUUAUUUGAGCUGGCUUCCAUCCCAACAAACGCAGACUCAGGAUCAGCUGUCAGUGGACCUCCGCAGCAUCCCGGCUCAUGGCAGCCGCCACUGGGAAACUAUGUGAGUCCGUCCUCGUGUGCCACUGUCCCCCUGGCCAUCGCCUCCUCAAAGAGAGAUUCUGCCAAAUUAUUGAAACAUAAUGUAUCUCAAUACUGAUUGUUUAUCUCAAGUCGAAAGUUCUGACACACAGUAAGGGAAUCGCAACAUGAGUCCCGUUACAACAAAUUGCUCUGCCAAACAUUACAUUAGUCCAUACACAUACAGACAUCAAUGCAAAUAUAAAUUAUCUUGCAUACUUUCCUCUCAUCUAAUAAAACGUCCACAUUUCAAAUUAAAGCAUACGACAAAGGCUGCUUACAAAAAUAAAUUAUCUUACAAUAUUAAUACACAGAGGAAAUUAAACUAAGUGGGAGUUCCAUGAUUAUUUUAUUCAUUGGGAUUUGGCUGUUUCUUAUCCUGUGUAGCCUUUACAAGUUCUACGUUCGACUCAAUUUGAAUUUUUGAAUCAUUUAGUAGGCAGUAUCCAAUUUAUAAUGUUAUAAAUUAAAUACAUAUGAUGGCAGUACAGUGGACAACUGGUUGACACAUCUCCCUCACAGAGAUGAAAUUCACAUUUAGGCAUCUUGUUCUGAGGACCGGGGUUCAAAUCUGGGCCUCGCUUGUGUGGAGUUUGCAUGUUCUCCUUGUGCUACGUGGGCUUUCGCUGGGUACUCAUAUUUUCUCACACAUCCCAAUAACAUGCAUGGUAGGUUAACUGACAACUCCAAAUUGGUCAUUGGUGUGACUGUGAGUCCGAAUGGUUGUUUGGUUAUGUGUGUCCAGAGUGUAUCCUUCCUCUUGCCCAGAGUCAGCUGGGAUAGCCUCCAGCACAUCCACAUCCACAUCCCUAGUGACAAUAAGCGGUAUGGAAGAUGAAUGAAUGAAUGAUUUUGAGGCCAUUAAUUUAAAAGGAAAAUUAACAUAAUUCCAUUUUAUCUGCUUCCUUAGCACAAAAAUAAUACUGUAAAUUUUGAUUUUAGUAUUACAGCCUCCCAUCGAGUUUUUUUUUUUGCUCCCUGUUGCUGUGAAAUUCCAUCCUGAUCAUGCCGAAGCACUACACCUAAAAAUGUUUUCACUACUUGCACCACAGGGCCUUAAAUCACAGAGAAAUAACAGCAGUUCACCUUUGUGCCACCCUGAGGAACAGAGCGACAUCUCCCGCAAUGCAUUUCUUACUUUGUAGCCUUUGCCAAACUCUGCCACUCCAAAUCUCCUCCUAACCUGCCUCCUUAUGGCUAUAGCACUCAGAAGGCACGGCCAUCGAGUCACGCCAUCUGCUUCAGUGGGACAUGCAGUGGAAGUGGGAGUAGGGGCUUCCUACCUAAGUCAGUCUUCUUUCUCCCCCCAAGCAAAUCUUUUUCUCCUUCCUUCACCUUCUCUUAUUCCCUGAACUACUGCUCAAACUCAUUUUUUUUCUUGAAAAUAAAUCCUCUCGGUAAUUUUCAAGGGAUGAAGAGUUGGAUUUA